ensembl:snRNA U1 U1 spliceosomal RNA
AUACUUACAGGCAGAGGAGACACCAUGAUCACGAAGGUGAUUUUCUCUGAGCGAGGCUCGUCCAUUGCACUGCGGAUGUGCUGACCUCUAUGAUUUCCCCAAAUGUGGGAAACUCAGCUGCACAAUUUAUGGCAGUGGGGGACUGCAUCUAUGCUUUCCCCUG